rnacentral:rRNA from 1 species
GAUGAACGCUGGCGGCGUGCUUAACACAUGCAAGUCGAACGGAAAGGCCCAAGCUUGCUUGGGUACUCGAGUGGCGAACGGGUGAGUAACACGUGGGUGAUCUGCCCUGCACUUCGGGAUAAGCCUGGGAAACUGGGUCUAAUACCGGAUAGGCCGAUGGUUUGGAUGCCUUUGUGGAAAGUUUUUUCGGUGUGGGAUGAGCUCGCGGCCUAUCAGCUUGUUGGUGGGGUAAUGGCCUACCAAGGCGUCGACGGGUAGCCGGCCUGAGAGGGUGUACGGCCACAUUGGGACUGAGAUACGGCCCAGACUCCCACGGGAGGCAGCAGUGGGGAAUAUUGCACAAUGGGCGCAAGCCUGAUGCAGCGACGCCGCGUGGGGGAUGACGGCCUUCGGGUUGUAAACUCCUUUCGCUAGGGACGAAGCGUUUUUGUGACGGUACCUGGAGAAGAAGCACCGGCUAACUACGUG